rfam:Mycobacterium sp. GA-2829 GCID_NTM_00013_NODE_30.ctg_1, whole genome shotgun sequence.
GUGGGGUUCGGGAUGAAGUGGUUGAUCACCCCGCCGAACACGGCGUACGUGCGCUUGCCGUCGGUGAGCAUCUGCACACCGCGGCUGCGGAACUCCUU